GCUAAGGCGAAGCUCAUACCGGCGACCAAUGUCGCUGCAACCAAGGUAAAUGUUUUCAUAGCGAUAUUCCUUCUGAUUUGCGAAAGUAGGAAGACUCCAAUCCGGAUGCGGAGUGGCAUUCGCUCUCGUUAAUGUGCCUCGGUUCGCUUUGUUCCUUUGCCCCAUCGGAAGUUGUGAACCCAACGUUUGGAGCGCUUCGCAGCUUGGUGCGUUGCUCCGCAAAGCCCGCUGCCGCGGUUGCGGAUCAGUGGCGCGAUAUACCGCCAAAUUGAAAAGGAAACCGUCGCAUGACCAAACAGUUGAGAACUGUGAUCUUCGCAGCCUUGGUUC
rnacentral:misc_RNA from 1 species